AUUUCUUAAAAACAGGAACGAUAUUUUUUUAAAUAGGAACGAUUACUUACGGGCACAACUCAGCUUAAAAAAUGGUAAAACCGCCAUCUUUUUUCAAAACUAUAGUUUAAGUAUAGAUUAAUGCAGACCACAAUUUAUUUGAUUCAAUAAUAUGUUUAAAAAUGGACUUUUUAAAAACAUACCUCGAUGUAAACGUUUUAUAAAGCAUAUGUAUUUUCGAAGUAAUUCUUUAAAGAUAAUCUAAUCGAACAAUACGAUGGAUUUGAAAGUUAUUCCAUGCCAUCACUUGUUUAUAACGGUUAUUUAGUUACUAAACGAAUGUUAGUUUAAAAAAAUUUUUAAUUGCUUCAGAAAACUUCUUGAAACCGUACUCGUUGCUUUUCAUACAAGGUAAUAUUAGUGGCAAUGUUUUCUCGGUAAUAAUUGCAGAAGUCCUUAUUGGUCUGGGUCAUCGAUUGAAAAGGUUAUUGCAGUUCAUUUACAACCUCGACAGUCGCGAUCAGCAUUAAAUUUUCAUAUUCAUGCUAUGGUUGAAGGUUCUUAAGAAACAGACAAUUUUAAUCCUUACGUAGUUUCGUAAUAGCAAAUUGUUGUUCUUAUUUUUACUUUUUUUUUAAACUUUCUUUGUUUUCGAAUGAAUUAUUGCAAAUCCAAGAAUUAACAAAUUGUUGCAACCCGUUAUAUUUUAUUAUAUAUAAUUUUGUCUGGUAAUAUUAUUUCUAUUAAGUAAAGUUUAUCAUGUUAAAA